UACGGGGGGGGCAAGCGUUGUUCGGAAUUACUGGGCGUAAAGGGCGCGUAGGCGGCCUGCUAAGUCGAACGUGAAAUCCCCGAGCUCAACUCGGGAACUGCGUCCGAUACUGACAGGCUUGAAUCCGGGAGAGGGAUGCGGAAUUCCAGGUGUAGCGGUGAAAUUCGUAGAUAUCAGGAGGAACAUCAGCGGCGAAGGCGGCUUCCUGGCUCAUUACUGACGUUCAGGUACGAAAGCGUGGGUAGCAAACAGG
rnacentral:rRNA from 1 species